rnacentral:rRNA from 1 species
ACGGAGGGUGCGAGCGUUAUCCGGAAUUAUUGGGUUUAAAGGGUGCGUAGGCGGAAAUUUAAGUCAGUGGUGAAAGCCUGCAGCUUAACUGUAGAAUUGCCAUUGAUACUGGAUUUCUUGAAUCUAAUAGAAGUAGGCGGAAUAUGACAUGUAGCGGUGAAAUGCUUAGAUAUGUCAUAGAACACCGAUAGCGAAGGCAGCUUACUAUGUUAGUAUUGACGCUAAUGCACGAAAGCGUGGGGAGCGAACAGG